UACGUAGGGUGCAAGCGUUAAUCGGAAUUACUGGGCGUAAAGCGUGCGCAGGCGGUUAUGUAAGACAGGUGUGAAAUCCCAGGGCUUAACCUUGGAACUGCAUUUGUGACUGCAUAGCUAGAGUACGGUAGAGGGGGAUGGAAUUCCGCGUGUAGCAGUGAAAUGCGUAGAUAUGCGGAGGAACACCGAUGGCGAAGGCAAUCCCCUGGACCUGUACUGACGCUCAUGCACGAAAGCGUGGGGAGCAAAC
rnacentral:rRNA from 1 species